UACGAAGGGUGCAAGCGUUACUCGGAAUUACUGGGCGUAAAGCGUGCGUAGGUGGUUUGUUAAGUCUGUUGUGAAAGCCCCGGGCUCAACCUGGGAAUGGCAAUGGAUACUGGCAGGCUAGAGUGCGGUAGAGGGUAGUGGAAUUCCCGGUGUAGCGGUGAAAAUGCGUAGAGAUCGGGAGGAACACCAAUAGCGAAGGCAGCUCGCUGGGACGUUACUGACACUGAGGCGCGAAAGCGUGGGGAGCGAACAGG
rnacentral:rRNA from 1 species